CNUUCUGUGCCGGAGUUAACGCAAUAAGUACCCCGCCUGGGGAGUACGACCGCAAGGUUGAAACUCAAAGGAAUUGACGGGGGCCCGCACAAGCGGUGGAGUAUGUGGUUUAAUUCGACGCAACGCGAAGAACCUUACCAGGUCUUGACAUUGAUGGACAGAACUAGAGAUAGUUCCUCUUCUUCGGAAGCCAGAAAACAGGUGGUGCACGGUUGUCGUCAGCUCGUGUCGUGAGAUGUUGGGUUAAGUCCCGCAACGAGCGCAACCCCUAUCUUAUGUUGCCAGCACUUUGGGUGGGAACUCAUGAGAGACUGCCGCAGACAAUGCGGAGGAAGGCGGGGAUGACGUCAAAUCAUCAUGCCCCUUAUGACCUGGGCUACACACGUACUACAAUGGGAGUUAAUAGACGGAAGCGAGAUCGCGAGAUGGAGCAAACCCGAGAAACACUCUCUCAGUUCGGAUCGUAGGCUGCAACUCGCCUACGUGAAGUCGGAAUCGCUAGUAAUCGCAGGUCAGCAUACUGCGGUGAAUACGUUCCCGGGCCUUGUACACACCGCCCGUCACACCACGAAAGUCGGAAGUGCCCAAAGCCGGUGGGGUAAC
rnacentral:rRNA from 1 species